CAGCCGCCGCGGGAAUACGUAGGUGGCAAGCGUUGUCCGGAAUUAUUGGGCGUAAAGCGCGCGCAGGCGGAUAGGUCAGUCUGUCUUAAAAGUUCGGGGCUUAACCCCGUGAUGAGAUGGAAACUGCCAAUCUAGAGUAUCGGAGAGGAAAGUGGAAUUCCUAGUGUAGCGGUGAAAUGCGUAGAUAUUAGGAAGAACACCAGUGGCGAAGGCGACUUUCUGGACGAAAACUGACGCUGAGGCGCGAAAGCCAGGGGAGCGAACGGGAUUAGAUACCCGAGUAGUCCCUGUCUCUUAUACA
rnacentral:rRNA from 1 species